AGUGGGCACGGCGGACCAGCUACGGGCAUGUGGCCUCACAAGACAUUUCUCUGCUUUAUGCAGACAUUACGCGCAAGAA
rnacentral:lncRNA from 1 species